rnacentral:rRNA from 1 species
AGCGAACGCUGGCGGCAUGCUUAACACAUGCAAGUCGCGCGGGUGGUUUCGGCCAUCAGCGGCGGACGGGUGAGUAUCGCGUAGGAAUGUAUCCCGAGGUGGGGGACAACCCUGGGAAACUGGGGCUAAUACCGCAUGGGGCCUGUGGGUCAAAGCCUUAGGGCGCCUUGGGAGCAGCCUGCGUCCGAUUAGGUAGUUGGUGGGGUAAAGGCCUACCAAGCCUGCGAUCGGUAGCUGGUCUGAGAGGACGAUCAGCCACACUGGGACUGAGACACGGCCCAGACUCCUACGGAAGGGAGCAGUGGGGAAUAUUGGACAAUGGGCGCAAGCCUGAUCAAGCAAUGCCGCGUGGGUGAAGAAGGUCUUCGGAUUGUAAAGCCCUUUCGGCGGGGACGAUGAUGACGGUACCCGCAGAAGAAGCCCCGGCUAACUUCGUG